UACAGGAGGGUGACAAGCUGUUAAGUCGGAAAUUACUGGGCGUAAAGCGUGCGCAGGCGGUUUUGUAAGUUUGUCGUGAAAGCCCCGGGCUCAACCUGGGAAUUGCGAUGAAGACUGCAAGGCUUGAAUCUGGCAGAGGGGGGUAGAAUUCCACGUGUAGCAGUGAAAUGCGUAGAGAUGUGGAGGAACACCGAUGGCGAAGGCAGCCCCCUGGGUCAAGAUUGACGCUCAUGCACGAAAGCGUGGGGAGCAAACAGG
rnacentral:rRNA from 1 species